GUGCUUUGAUUUAUUGUACAGGAAGCAUAGUGGGACUACAGAAGUAUUAACAAACUAGGAAAAUAAUAGAACCGUUUAGCUGGGAACACUAUCUUUGGGAUUUAUUUCUGAAAUUCAAUAUUGGAAGUGAUUACAACUCUACUGCAGCAAUCUGACACGCGAGAAAAUUAACUUUCUGCAAAGAAGACAUUGUUCACAAGAUGCAAAUCAUUAUGUUUGUGAGAAAGCUUAUAACUCAUAUUUGGUGUAUUAUGAUUUGAGCUCCAUGCUGUGGCCGCAGCAACGGAAAAGCAUAAGGAGCAUGCGUGUAGGAAGGUGAAAGCUCAAAAGAGAAAUGCUGUAGAAUUCUAGCCAAAACUGUCUUCGCUUCUAACAUGGCAAAGUUUUGGCCAACACAGGUUCUUUGACCCCCACCAAAAGGGACGAAUGCUAAAUGAUUUUUAGAUGCCUUUGAAAUUCCUUCAGAGAAUCUCUCUGGUCUGAAUUCUUCAGCAUCAUCACCCCAUAACUCAGGAUCACGGUGAAGGAGCAUUGUGGUUAGCACAAGGUCAAUUCCUGCUGGAAUGGUCAUGUCUCCUAUCUUGGCUUCCUUGUAGGUAUGUCUAUGUUGAGCAAUUCCUGGUGGAUAUAACCUUAGGACUUCAUUCAGGAUCAUGGUUACCUGCAUGAAAAUUUACAUGGACAUGUGAUGAAAUAAAUCUUUCCUGCUCUACUUUUAGUAUUUUAGAGAAACAAGAAGCAGCAUCAAAACAUUGCAAAUUAAUCUAAGACAAUGUACUGUGUCCUUGGAAUACCUUACUGAAAAUUAUAUGUAGAAAUGGAUACUCACAACUUUGAGAUGACUCAAAGCUUCAAAAUCAGGUUCACUCUUCCCACAAACUUGUAGAACUUCUUCCCUUGCCUUUUCUUGCCAGUCUGGGUGCAUAGAUAAGACUAUCAUUGUCCAUGUCAACAGGCUAGAGGUUGUUUCUUGGCCAGCGAGAUAGAAAACCUUGCAUUCCUCUAUUACCUCUUCAAUUGUCAACCCAUUAACUUUUUUGCCACUUGCAUUUCCAAGACUGUUCUGUUCAUUAGAUUGCAAGAGUAAGCUUAGCAAGUCAUCAACCCUUGAUUGUCCAGUUCUCAUAGCAUUCUGUUUCCUCUCAACUAAAUCUCUCAGCAUUGAUGUGGUCUCUGCGACCAAUUUGUAUCUCCUCCGAUUCUUCUUUGUCGGAACAAAUCUGAAACCAGGAAUAUACACCAUCUGCAUAGCUUCAAAAGUCAGCGUCAGCGACUCUUGCAGAAGUUCAAAUAUCUUCUUUCCUUCUUCAUAAUUACUUCCAAAUGCAACCCGUGAAAUGAUAUCCAUAGCUAUUUUCUGAAGCUCUGGCCAGACAUCCACUUCACAAGUUUCUUGAUCAUUGACCAUCUCCUGCCAAUGUUCUAUCAUCCUGUUGCAACUGAGUGAGAAUACUGGUAUCAUCCCCUUAAGUUUCUCUAAUUGGAAAGCAGGAUUGAUCACUCUUCUGUGUUCAACCCACUUCUCCCCCUGUAAUUCUGUUACCCCUUUAGCAAUCGAGGGAACAAGCGGGUUUAAUGGUGGCUUCUCAAAGUUACCUAGCUUAUUAGACAGCACUUCUCUCAUUAGUUCCGGAUCAGAAAUGAUCAACCUCGGUGUUGUCCCAUACCAAUACAUUGAUAUCUUCCCAUAUUUCCUAACAGUAUUCAGAGUCAAGGGAUCAACACGUUGCGCAAUUUGAUGGGUGAGAUUAAUGGGUUUGGACCAAGCCUCAGUUAUCAGCCUUACGUGCUCCUUCAUGUCCCCAACCCAGAGCUUGUAGGGUGUGCCUCUUAUCCCCUGUUGCCUCAACUUCCUGGCUAGCCACUUGGGUUUCCACCAAAUGGGGUAGGAAACUCUCCCAACCCCAUAGAGUGCAAGAAGUAACAAAGAAAGCCCUAGGGAACAUAAAACAAGGUCAUCCAUGGGCAAAAACAGAUUUUAUCUUUUAAAUUCUGGAUCUGGGGUUUCUUGGACUUGUUCCUAGUUUGCUAUAAUAGAGAGCUCUAGCAUUAUCCGUAGGAGAGGGUAGUUAAACUUCUUUCCUUUGAAAAUUAAAAUUAUAUUUCUGGGAUUUUACCUGAUAUUCCAAAACAUGAUGUAAGACUUAGAAGAAGCUGAGAGCCGGGUCAUACUAGAUAAGCAGGGAAGCUUCUCUGCUCAUUCCUCUCGAUCUAUGUUGGCCAACCAAACGUUCAUUGAACUGAUUUUGACUUGCCAACUGUUUCCCAAGAGCCUAUGAAGCCUGACGAUGAGAUCUUCCUCGUCUGGAGAGAUGUUUCCUCUCUUGAUAUCUGGCCUCAGAUAAUUCAACCACCGAAGCCUGCAACUCUUGCCACAUCUUUUUAAACCUGCUUUUUGCGGUAGGUCUCUCCAUUUGCCAUCACCAUGGACUUGAAUGUAAUCUGCAAGAAGUUUGUCUUCAUGGGCAGUCCAUGCACCUCUGUUCAACCCAGCAUCCUUAGCACAACAAGGCCUCCGCCCCAUCUGUAUGUGUAUACUUCCCCACUCUCAGAACUGAACAAAAACUAUUUCCCAGUGUCUUAUGUUUCCUUUAACCUAGGAGAAAACAUGAUAUGAUGCUUAUAGGACCAGA
rnacentral:misc_RNA from 1 species